UGAAUACGAGAUGCUACGGCAUCGAAGCAGUCUAUGUCAUACUUCCAAGAAAAGCUUGCACUGUCAUAAACAAAUAGUGCCUGUACCAUAACCGACACAGGUGGGUAGGUAGAGUAUACUAAGGGGCGCGAGAUAACUCUCUCUAAGGAACUCGGCAAAAUGACUCCGUAACUUCGGGAGAAGGAGUGCCUUAUUUUAUAAGGUUGCAAUAACAAGAUCCAAGCAACUGUUUACCAAAAACACAGGUCUCCGCUAAGUCGUAAGACGAUGUAUGGGGGCUGACGCCUGCCCAGUGCCAGAAGGUUAAAGAAGUUGGUUAGCAUUAGCGAAGCUGAUAACUGAAGCCCUGGUGAACGGCGGCCGUAACAGUAACGGUCCUAAGGUAGCGAAAUUCCUUGUCGGGUAAGUUCCGACCCGCACGAAAGGCGUAAUGAUUUGGAUACUGUCUCGGAGAGGGGCUCGGUGAAAUAGACUUGUCUGUGAAGAUGCGGACUACCUGCACCAGGACAGAAAGACCCUAUGAAGCUUUACUGUAACUUGAGAUUGAAAUUGGACUUUAUUUGCGCAGUAUAGGUGGGAGACGUUGAAAAUAUUCUUGCGGGAAUAUUGGAGUCAUCAGUGAGAUACCACUCUUAUAAUGUUAGAUUUCUAACUUUGUAUCAUUAUCUGGUCAAAGAACAGUCUCAGGCGGGCAGUUUGACUGGGGCGGUCGCCUCCCAAACGGUAACGGAGGCGCACAAAGGUUUCCUCUGAACGUGUAGAAAUCGUAUCUAGAGUGUAAAGGCAUAAGGAAGCUUGACUGUGAGACCUACAAGUCGAGCAGGGACGAAAGUCGGUCUUAGUGAUCUGACGGUGCUGAGUGGAAAGGCCGUCACUCAACGGAUAAAAGUUACUCUAGGAUAACAGGCUGAUCUCCCCCAAGAGUUCACAUCGACGGGGAGGUUUGGCACCUCGAUGUCGGCUCAUCGCAUCCUGGGGCGGUAGUACGUCCCAAGGGUUGGGCUGUUCGCCCAUGAAAGCGGUACGCGAGCUGGGUUCAGAACGUCGUGAGACAGUUCGGUCCAUAUCCGGUGUAGGCGUUAGAAUAUUGAGAGGAGCCUUCUUUAGUACGAGAGGACCGAGAAGGACAUACCUCUGGUGUACCAGUUAUCGUGCCAACGGUAAACGCUGGGUAGCUAUGUAUGGAGAGGAUAACCGCUGAAAGCAUCUAAGUGGGAAGCCCACCUCAAGAUAAG
rnacentral:rRNA from 1 species